rnacentral:rRNA from 1 species
UACGUAGGGUCCGAGCGUUGUCCGGAAUUAUUGGGCGUAAAGGGCUCGUAGGCGGUUCGUCACGUCGGGAGUGAAAACUCGGAGCUUAACUCCGAGCCUGCUUCCGAUACGGGCAGACUAGAGGUAGGCAGGGGAGAGCGGAACUCCUGGUGUAGCGGUGGAAUGCGCAGAUAUCAGGAAGAACACCGGUGGCGAAGGCGGCUCACUGGACCAUAACUGACGCUGAUGCACGAAAGCUAGGGGAGCAAACAGG